rnacentral:rRNA from 1 species
GUGCCAGCCGCCGCGGUAAUACGGAGGGUGCAAGCGUUACUCGGAAUCACUGGGCGUAAAGCGCGCGCAGGCGGUCUUUUAAGUUGGAUGUGAAAGCCUACGGCUCAACCGUAGAACUGCAUCCAAAACUAUUAGACUAGAGUGUGGGAGAGGAAGAUGGAAUUAGUUGUGUAGGGGUAAAAUCCGUAGAGAUAACUAGGAAUACCAAAAGCGAAGGCAAUCUUCUGGAACACUACUGACGCUGAGGCGCGAAAGCGUGGGGAGCAAACAGGAUUAGAUACCCUGGUAGUCCACGCAGUAAACGAUGAAUGUUAGUCGUCGGGGGCCUAGUGUCUUCGGUGAUGCAGCUAACGCAUUAAACAUUCCGCCUGGGGAGUACGGUCGCAAGAUUAAAACUCAAAGGAAUAGACGGGGACCCGCACAAGUGGUGGAGCAUGUGGUUUAAUUCGAAGAUACGCGAAGAACCUUACCUAGCCUUGACAUAUUUAAGAACUCCGUAGAGAUACAGAGGUGCCUUCGGGAGCUUUCUUACAGGUGCUGCACGGCUGUCGUCAGCUCGUGUCGUGAGAUGUUGGGUUAAGUCCCGCAACGAGCGCAACCCUCGUCACUAGUUACUAACGGUUCGGCCGAGGACUCUAGUGAGACUGCCUUCGUAAGGAGGAGGAAGGUGAGGACGACGUCAAGUCAUCAUGGCCCUUACGGCUAGGGCAACACACGUGCUACAAUGGUUGGGACAGUGAGAAGCGAUACCGCGAGGUGGAGCAAAUCUAUAAACCCAAUCUCAGUUCGGAUUGUAGUCUGCAACUCGACUACAUGAAGCUGGAAUCACUAGUAAUCGUAGAUCAGCUAUGCUACGGUGAAUACGUUCCCGGGUCUUGUACUCACCGCCCGUCACACCAUGGGAGUUGAUUUCACCCGAAGCGGGGAAGCUAAACUGGCUACCCUCCACGGUGGAAUUAGCGACUGGGGUGAAGUCGUAACAAGGUAACC